rnacentral:hammerhead_ribozyme from 1 species
GCUGACGAGUCCCAGAUAGGACGAAAUGCGCAUCC